AUGAGUAUGGGAAAUAAGAUCUCAGGAGGGAUUGCAAAAAGAAAGCCUCUUCUUCUUCUCCGCGGAACACAAUCGGCGCCGCCGGCCUUCUCCCGCUUCUUCCGACAACUCGGCGGCGCGGCCAUCAUCAUCUUCACUGAUCUUCUUCUGCUCCUCCUAUUCCCUCGCUCUUCUUCUCUGAUGACUGUCCACCGUGAACCUCCGCGUGUUUCCGUUCGACCUUCGGUCUCUUCUACUGGAAAACUCUGCUGGCUCUUCAAUGGCGUCGGUGUUCCAAGAAAACCAGAGCUUGCUAACGCGUUGCGAUUUUGUUACCGGGAUACAGUCAAUAGAUUAGACGACCAAACUAAGAACAGAUGGACGUAG